UAAUCUGAAAUUGGAGAUGAUAAUAAAAUUUACCUUAGAGGCUUGUUGUGAGGAUUAAAGCACUUAGAACACACCUGUCCAGCUCAUAGUCUGUGCUCUGUAAAUGUAGGCAGUGAGGCUGAGGAGAGGCAAUGCAUCGAUGAAGAAGAAUGAGCAGAACUCUGUGACCAAGAGGCUGUCGGGAACAAGCAGGAAGACCUAAGGAGGCUGGCUUUGGUGUCGGAGCUCGUCAGGUGGUGGUACCACUUGCUGAGAUCAGGAGCCGGAAGAAAAGCAGGCUGGGGGAAGGCUGAGAAAAUGUGGCCAAAGCACAACUUCCCAGAAAGUAGGCUGUGGUAGAAUGCAUCUCGCCUGACUCCAGUCAGCUGCAGGUGUCUGGAAGAGGGUUGAAGAUGGUCAGAUGCUAAGGGCAGAGCCCCUCUUCUUCUCUCCACCCCCAAGCCCCAAGUGCCAGGGUAAGAAAGCUGAGAUUCAGAAGGGUUCUGCACAAGAGAGCCAAUUUUUGGAUGCUGCCACACAGAGAGAGACAACAGCCAGUCAGUCUUGAAGAGCAGCAGCCAACCAACAGAGAGAUGGCCACUUCCCCAUGGCCUCCCGGUGUCUGUCCACAGCCCUGCCGCAGACAGGAGCAAGUGGGAAGUGGCAGAGGACAGACCGCCUUCUGCCACCCUCCACUCAGGCCACCAGGGCCAUGGCCACGUCUAGCUUCCCUGGGAGUGGAGGCCAAGAGCUUUGAAGGAGAGCUUGACCUGGACAUUUUUAAGUACCAGCCUGUGUAAUCCUCACAGCAGCUGCGAGAAUAAGAGCUGCACCUGCCAGAGCCCACCCGGUUAGAAAGAGGUUGUGCUGGGAUCUGCACCCGCUGACCAUCUCUGCAGACCACCAUGAGCCAGGGUCCCUGGUGACGGCCUGGGGAAGGGGCAGGUGCGGCGCCAUGGAAGGUCGGAGGAGGGCAGAGGCAAAGAAGGCCAUGGAAACGGACAAGAGGAGCCGCCCUGCCGUUCUGCACCACGUUCUGCACAGCUUUUCUCCCCACGGCCCGAGGAGCCCGAGGAGACGCCACGCAGGGGUCCAGGGGCCUCUGCUUGCUGCCCAGGCCUCAAGCCACAAGAGAAAGCAACAUUCACCUUUAAUUGCAUCACAGACUGAACGUUAACCCACUGAAGACCCGCCACCCUGUUAACUGGCUAGAAUGGAGGUGAUCCUGCGGCUCCACUGAACAGAAACAGAUCCUGAGCUCCUGAGACCUUAAGGUAAGUGUCUGAACACUGUCACCAUUUCCAACGUCUAUCUAUUGCUUUACUGUACAAUCAGAGCGAGAAACAAAUGCAUUCGAUGCUGUGGAGGUAGAAGACACCAUGGUUGCUACCCCAACCCCAAAUGUCUGCAUCAGGACCAGCUGAGCUCUUCUUAGUCAUUAUCUUUUGAAUAAAUGUUACACAUUUCAAUAGAACAAUUUACGUUAAUAAAAUACAGUUGACCCUUGAACAGGUUUCCAGGGUUUGAACUGAACA